UCACUCUCUGCUCGCCCUGUGAUGUCGCCGCUCCACACUUCACAGCUGGUUAGAGAGAGAGAGCUGAGCGUGUCAUGAGCAGACAUUACCGAUGAGAUGCAUCCAUGUCUCAGCAGCUUGGUUCAAAACGAGGCCGAACUGACCGGUGGGAGGACCGGGACCUUUCCUCAUGGGUCGCUGCACAAACCGAUUAGCCCGUGUGGUUUUGGGCGGUUCUGGGCCGCUGCUGAGAGCGCAGCUACAAUAAAAGGUCUGAUAUUUUCUGUCAUCUGCGGAGAUAAAGAAGAACAUGACACAAAGGACACAAGGAGCACCUAAAGAUUUAAAGUUUUGUGAUUUAAAAAC